rnacentral:rRNA from 1 species
CAACCAGCACCUCAAGUGGUCAGGAUGAUUAUUGGGCCUAAAGCAUCCGUAGCCGGCUCUGUAAGUUUUCGGUUAAAUCUGUACGCUCAACGUACAGGCUGCCGGGAAUACUGCAGAGCUAGGGAGUGGGAGAGGUAGACGGUACUCGGGAGGAAGUGGUAAAAUGCUUUGAUCUCUCGAUGACCACCUGUGGCGAAGGCGGUCUACCAGAACACGUCCGACGGUGAGGGAUGAAAGCUGGGGGAGCAAACCGGAUUAGAAACCCGAGUAGUCC